UACAGAGGUCCCAAGCGUUGUUCGGAUUCACUGGGCGUAAAGGGUGCGUAGGUGGUGAGGUAAGUCGGAUGUGAAAGCUCCGAGCUCAACUCGGAAAUGGCAUUGGAAACUACCUUGCUAGAGGGUUUGAGGGGGGACUGGAAUACUUGGUGUAGCAGUGAAAUGCGUAGAUAUCAAGUGGAACACCAGUGGCGAAAGCGAGUCCCUG
rnacentral:rRNA from 1 species